rnacentral:rRNA from 1 species
GUGGAUCACAAUAAGAGACGCUUAAAUAUAGUCGAAGACAGCUGGAAAGCUGUAGCAAAGAGGGUAAAACUCCCGUAGACGAAAUAUGAGAGCGCUUUAGUGACACCAGAGUAGUGCCGGACACGUGGAAUCCGGCAUGAAGCCGGGGGGCCCACCCCCCAAGCCUAAAUACUAACCAGUGACCGAUAGCGAAGUAGUACCGUGAGGGAAAGGUGAAAAGAACCCCGGGAGGGGAGUGAAAUAGAACCUGAAACCUUAUGCUUACAAUCGGAGGGAGCGCAAGUGACCUCAUACUUUUUGUAGAACGGGCCAACGAGUUAUGGUAUGUAGCAAGGUUAAGGUGCUGGAGCACCGAAGCCGCAGGGAAACCGAGUCUUAAUAGGGCGAGAAGUUGCAUGCUGUAGACCCGAAACCGGGUGACCUAUCCAUGUGCAGGUUGAAGUAACUGUAAAAGGUUAUGGAGGACCGAACUCAUGUCUGUUAAAAAAGGCUGGGAUGACGUGUGGAUAGCGGUGAAAUUCCAAUCGAACUCGGAGAUAGCUGGUUCUCCUCGAAAUAGCUUUAGGGCUAGCCUCAAGGAAAGAUACGCGGGGGUAAAGCACUGAAUGUUCAAGGGGCCUUCACCGGUUACCAAAAACUAUCAAACUCAGAAUACCGCAGUAUUAUACUUGGGAGUCAGGCUAUGUGAGAUAAGUUUCAUAGUCGAGAGGGAAACAACCCAGACCAACAGCUAAGGUCCCAAAAUGUAAGUUAAGUGGAAAAGGAUGUGGAGUUGCAUAAACAGCUAGGAUGUUGGCUUAGAAGCAGCCAUACAUUUAAAGAGUGCGUAAUAGCUCACUAGUCGAGUGACCCUGCGCCGAAGAUAAACGGGGCUAAAACUUACUACCGAAGCUUUGGAACAGAAAUGUUGGUAGAGGAGCAUUGUAUACAGGCAGAAGGUAAAUUGUGAAGUUUGCUGGACAGUAUACAAGAGAGAAUGUUGGCAUGAGUAGCGAGAGGCAGGUGAGAAUCCUGCCCGCCGAAAAUCUAAGGUUUCCUGAGGAAGGUUCGUCCACUCAGGGUUAGUCGGGGCCUAAGCCCAGAGCGAGAGCUGUAGGCGAUGGACAACAGGUAGAAAUUCCUGUACCACCGAGGAUUGAUUGAGUGAAGUGGGGACACAGAAGGAUAGGUUGAGCACGCCGUUGGUAGAGCGUGUCCAAGCGUCGAGGGAGUAUAAGUAGGUAAAUCCGCAUAUACAAUUCUGAGGCGUUAAGGGGUGGCGAAAGAGCCUGAAGCGACCGAUUUCAUGCUGUCAAGAAAAUCCGCUAGCGAGAUCCAAGGUGCCCGUACCGCAAACCGACACAGGUAGAUGAGGAGAGAAUCCUAAGGCGAGCGAGAGAACUAUUGUUAAGGAACUCGGCAAAAUGACCCCGUAACUUCGGGAGAAGGGGUGCCACAGAAAUGUGGCCGCAGUGAAUAGGCCCAGGCAACUGUUUACCAAAAACACAGGUCUCUGCAAAAGCGAAAGCUGAAGUAUAGGGGCUGACGCCUGCCCGGUGCUGGAAGGUUAAGGGGAAGUGUUAGGGUAACCGAAGCACAGAACUUAAGCCCCAGUAAACGGCGGCCGUAACUAUAACGGUCCUAAGGUAGCGAAAUUCCUUGUCGGGUAAGUUCCGACCCGCACGAAAGGCGUAAUGAUCUGGGCACUGUCUCAACAAUAGACUCGGUGAAAUUGUAGUACCGGUAAAGAUGCCGGUUACCCGCAGCAGGACGGAAAGACCCCGUGGAGCUUUACUGUAGCUUGAUAUUGAAUUUCGAUGUUGCAUGUACAGGAUAGGUGGGAGACUAAGAAUACAGUACGCCAGUAUUGUAGGAGUCAUCGUUGGGAUACCACCCUUGUAAUAUUGAAGUUCUAACCAUGUAGCGUGAACCGGUACUGGGACAUUGUCAGGUGGGCAGUUUGACUGGGGCGGUCGCCUCCUAAAGAGUAACGGAGGCGCCCAAAGGUUCCCUCAGCGCGGACGGAAAUCGCGCGAAGAGUGCAAAGGCAGAAGGGAGCUUGACUGCGAGACAUACAGGUCGAGCAGGUACGAAAGUAGGGCUUAGUGAUCCGGUGGAAUGAGAGUGGAAUUGCCAUCGCUCAACGGAUAAAAGCUACCCUGGGGAUAACAGGCU